rnacentral:rRNA from 1 species
GAUGAACGCUGGCGGCGUGCCUAAUACAUGCAAGUCGAGCGAACAGAUGAGGAGCUUGCUCCUCUGACGUUAGCGGCGGACGGGUGAGUAACACGUGGAUAACCUACCUAUAAGACUGGGAUAACUUCGGGAAACCGGAGCUAAUACCGGAUAAUAUAUUGAACCGCAUGGUUCAAUAGUGGAAGACGGUUUUGCUGUCACUUAUAGAUGGAUCCGCGCCGCAUUGGCUAGUUGGUAAGGUAACGGCUUACCAAGGCAACGAUGCGUAGCCGACCUGAGAGGGUGAUCGGCCACACUGGAACUGAGACACGGUCCAGACUCCUACGGGAGGCAGCAGUAGGGAAUCUUCCGCAAUGGGCGAAAGCCUGACGGAGCAACGCCGCGUGAGUGAUGAAGGUCUUCGGAUCGUAAAACUCUGUUAUUAGGGAAGAACAAAUGUGUAAGUAACUAUGCACGUCUUGACGGUACCUAAUCAGAAAGCCACGGCUAACUACGUG